GACACUCUGGAGAAACCCGGAAAAUGCCGGGUGCCGAAGGUGCAAAGCCGCGAAAGCGGCUAAUCUCUCAGGCAAAAGGACAGAGGCG
rnacentral:ncRNA from 1 species